UUUAAACGUAGUCAUGAGUUUACGUAUUCAAUUUUGAUUGUCCGUCUUAUAUAAUUUUUUUUUAAAAAAAUAAAAAAUAGAAGCCAUGCAUAAAUUACUAUUCAUAUUUUUAUCAUCUAAUAACAAUAAAAAUACUAAUCAUAAAAAAAUUAAAUAAAACGAACUAUUAAAGUUGGACACGAAAACUCAUGACGGCUUAAAUG
rfam:Oryza sativa Japonica Group DNA, chromosome 4, cultivar: Nipponbare, complete sequence.